rnacentral:rRNA from 1 species
UGCCAGCAGCCGCGGUAAUGCGGGAGUGGCAAGCGUUAUCCGGAAUUAUUGGGCGUAAAGCGUCCGCGGGCGGUUUUACAAGUCUGUCGUUAAAGCGUGGAGCUCAACUCCAUUUCAGCGAUGGAAACUGUAAGACUCGAGUGUGGUAGGGGCAGAGGGAAUUCCCGGUGUAGCGGUGAAAUGCGUAGAUAUCGGGAAGAACACCAGUGGCGAAAGCGCUCUGCUGGGCCAUAACUGACGCUCAUGGACGAAAACCAGGGGAGCGAAGGGGAUUAGAUACCCCUGUAGUCCUGGCCGUAAACGAUGAACACUAGGUGUCGGGGGAAUCGACCCCCUCGGUGUCGUAGCCAACGCGUUAAGUGUUCCGCCUGGGGAGUACGCACGCAAGUGUGAAACUCAAAGGAAUUGACGGGGGCCCGCACAAGCGGUGGAGUAUGUGGUUUAAUUCGAUGCAACGCGCAGAACCUUACC